CUAAUACAUGCAAGUCGAACGCACUUUCGUUAAUUGAUUUUGAGAUGCUUGCAUCGAAGAUGAUUUUAACUAUAAAGUGAGUGGCGAACGGGUGAGUAACACGUGGGUAACCUGCCCAGAAGUGGGGGAUAACACCUGGAAACAGAUGCUAAUACCGCAUAACAAAAUUAACCGCAUGGUUGAUUUUUAAAAGAUGGCUUCGGCUAUCACUUCUGGAUGGACCCGCGGCGUAUUAGCUAGUUGGUGAGAUAAAGGCUCACCAAGGCAGUGAUACGUAGCCGACCUGAGAGGGUAAUCGGCCACAUUGGGACUGAGACACGGCCCAGACUCCUACGGGAGGCAGCAGUAGGGAAUCUUCCACAAUGGACGCAAGUCUGAUGGAGCAACGCCGCGUGAGUGAUGAAGGCUUUCGGGUCGUAAAACUCUGUUGUUGGAGAAGAACGUGUGUGAGAGUAACUGCUCAUGCAGUGACGGUAUCCAACCAGAAAGCCACGGCUAACUACGUGCCAGCAGCCGCGGUAAUACGUAGGUGGCAAGCGUUAUCCGGAUUUAUUGGGCGUAAAGCGAGCGCAGGCGGUCUUUUAAGUCUAAUGUGAAAGCCUUCGGCUUAACCGAAGAAGUGCAUUGGAAACUGGGAGACUUGAGUGCAGAAGAGGAGAGUGGAACUCCAUGUGUAGCGGUGAAAUGCGUAGAUAUAUGGAAGAACACCAGUGGCGAAGGCGGCUCUCUGGUCUGCAACUGACGCUGAGGCUCGAAAGCAUGGGUAGCGAACAGGAUUAGAUACCCUGGUAGUCCAUGCCGUAAACGAUGAAUGCUAAGUGUUGGAGGGUUUCCGCCCUUCAGUGCUGCAGCUAACGCAUUAAGCAUUCCGCCUGGGGAGUACGACCGCAAGGUUGAAACUCAAAAGAAUUUGACGGGGGCCCGCACAAGCGGUGGGAGCAUGUGGUUUAAUUCGAAGCUACGCGAAGAACCCUUACUCAGGUCUUGACAUCUUCUGCUAACCCUAGAGAUUAGGCGUUCCCUUCGGGACGGAAUGACAGUGNGCAUGAUGUCGUCAGCUCGUGUC
rnacentral:rRNA from 1 species